GUUUUGGUAGUAGUAACUACGGCAACGUCGACGCAAUGGACUAUCAGCUUCCUUUUUUAUUUAUUUUUUUAGUGUCAUUGACCGCUAUAGGCCUGUAUUAUUGAAAUAAUGGCGGUAAUUAUUAGUGUAAACCUACUAAAACGGACUAAAAUGACGUUAUAGUUUGUCUGACAUCCAAAAGUGGAGAUGAAGCCUUAUACCAGCGUCGUUAGACCCAAACUGAUGUCACUGCCAACUGAAUCUCGUCUGAUGAUGAAGGACAUUACAGACGCGCGACCCAGUUCUUCUUCCAAAUACAUCUCCAGUCCUCCAGUUUCUGGAUGUUACACGGCUGCUGAAACCAGGAUGAAUGUUUUCUCACCGAGGCAGAAAUAUCCAUGCAGUCCGAGAUAUUCCAGGGAUUUAGAGCCUCACAGUUCUAUUACUGAUGGGCCUCUGCUUCCAUUGUUAGCCAAAGGCCGGUCAGCAAUCACCAAAUGUACCACACAAAACAAUGUGUCCGACAGUGAUAUUUCUGGCCGUCAUUUUUUAUUUGAUAAUCGAUGGAGAAAUGGAACGUACAUCACUAAUGAUAUAAGAGCAGACGUGUUCUGAUUAACCACAACCCCACAAGUCCUCUUUCUCAGGAAUUCCAUGUUUAUCAUUCUCACAAUUUAACCAGAUUUGCUAACCGCAAAGAACUUUCCCCGCGCGACCCAAGACCAAAUAUUUGCGGGUCUGAAUAUCUGACCUCAUUUCCAUCAGUUCUGUUACCAGCCACCAGCCCAUCUGUCAGUGGACGACUCUGUUUAUCACAAAACUAUAAAAACAGGCCAAGGGUAACAAACAGAGCUCGAAAUCUCGUCCCUGUUGGUGCUAACAACAAAACCUGUGGGCCGGUAAUUGUUUUUCAGGCCAGUCGUACCCUGAUCCACACUUGGGUGCCUCGGCAUCUUUUGUUCAGAGGCUCACUGAGAUUUCCUGUCUGGAAGCAGAAACAGUCCGGCAGGAGAAAACGAAGAGACUCAGGAAGAUCAAUAGGCAGGACUCUAAAUAGGAGUUCAGUAGCCAAAGAGGAAAGACAUGACACCUGAAAUCACAACUGUGCCAAUUAAAUAAAGUCAAGGGGAAAACCUGAGAGGUA